rnacentral:rRNA from 1 species
GACGGAGGGUGCUAGCGUUGUCCGGAAUCACUGGGCGUAAAGGGCGCGCAGGCGGCCGCGCCAGUCGGGCGUGAAAGCCCGGGGCUCAACCCCGGAACGGCGCCCGAGACGGCGCGGCUGGAGACCGGGAGAGGAGGGUGGAAUAGCCAGUGUAGAGGUGAAAUUCGUAGAUAUUGGCUGGAACACCGGUGGCGAAAGCGGCUCUCUGGCCCGGGUCUGACGCUGAGGCGCGAAAGCGUGGGGAGCAAACAGG